rnacentral:lncRNA from 1 species
CCCUUCUCAAAAUUGAUACAAACUGCUAGAAUAUCCCAAAAGUAUAAAAGAAAAACAAAAUCUUGAAGUAAUGAAGCUGAAUUUGGCAGUGUAUCUCAGAAAAUACUUUGCUGAGCCUAAUCCCAUGUAUAAAGAUCAAAAUAAUUUCAACCCCACCGAAAUCCAAAAAUUCUUCAUCCCUACAAUUUAUGAGAAAAUCAAAUACAGUAAGUUCUUACUGAAGGAGAAGUGAUUCAGAAGCUGCUCUGCAUCAUCACGUUCACUCCAAAAAACCCAUAGACCAUUGGGUUGGCGGGACCAGGCAUGUUCACUGAACACACUCUCCAUUCUUGAAAUCAAAUGACUUUUUCUC